AUUGAACGCUGGCGGCAUGCUUUACACAUGCAAGUCGAACGGUAACAGGCCGCAAGGUGCUGACGAGUGGCGAACGGGUGAGUAAUGCAUCGGAACGUGCCCAGUCGUGGGGGAUAACGCAGCGAAAGCUGCGCUAAUACCGCACACGAUCUAUGGAUGAAAGCGGGGGACCGUAAGGCCUCGCGCGAUUGGAGCGGCCGAUGUCAGAGUAGGUAGUUGGUGGGGUAAAGGCUCACCAAGCCAACGAUCUGUAGCUAGUCUGAGAGGACGACCGGACACACUAGGACUGAGACACUGCCCAGACUCCUACGUGAGGCAGCAGUGGGAAAUUUUGGACAAUGGGCGCAAGCCUGUACCAGCAAGGCCGCGUGCAGGAAGAAGGCCUUCGGGUUGUAAACUGCUUUUGUACGGAACGAAACGGCUCUGGUUAAUACCUGGGGCUAAUGACGGUACCGUAAGAAUAAGCACCGGCUAACUACGUGCCAGCAGCCGCCGCCGUAA
rnacentral:rRNA from 1 species